rnacentral:other from 1 species
UAUCGCCUGCAGAACUCGUGAUAUGAAUUGUAUUAAAGCCACGCUUGUAUUGGGAGUCGAGCCAUUGGUGACGUGCAAGCCGGCAUCGUUCCGGAUCCAUAAAGCCAACAAGGUAGAUGCCCACCUAAAAUAUAGGCUUUGAAUUCAACCAUACACGGUUCCUGCGGGCUUUAA